rnacentral:rRNA from 1 species
UGGGGAAUUUUGGACAAUGGGCGAAAGCCUGAUCCAGCAAUGCCGCGUGUGUGAAGAAGGCCUUCGGGUUGUAAAGCACUUUUGUCCGGAAAGAAAUCCUUGGCUCUAAUACAGUCGGGGGAUGACGGUACCGGAAGAAUAAGCACCGGCUAACUACGUGCCAGCAGCCGCGGUAAUACGUAGGGUGCAAGCGUUAAUCGGAAUUACUGGGCGUAAAGCGUGCGCAGGCGGUUUGCUAAGACCGAUGUGAAAUCCCCGGGCUCAACCUGGGAACUGCAUUGGUGACUGGCAGGCUAGAGUAUGGCAGAGGGGGGUAGAAUUCCACGUGUAGCAGUGGAAUGCGUAGAGAUGUGGAGGAAUACCGAUGGCGAAGGCAGCCCCCUGGGCCAAUACUGACGCUCAUGCACGAAAGCGUGGGGAGCAAACAGGAUUAGAUACCCCUGGGUAGUCCACGCCCUAAACGAUGUCAACUAGUUGUUGGGGGAUUCAUUUCCUUAGUAACGUAGCUAACGCGUGAAGUUGACCGCCU